GUGGGGAAUAUUGGACAAUGGGCGAAAGCCUGAUCCAGCCAUGCCGCGUGUGUGAAGAAGGUCUUCGGAUUGUAAAGCACUUUAAGUUGGGAGGAAGGGCAGUAAGUUAAUACCUUGCUGUUUUGACGUUACCAACAGAAUAAGCACCGGCUAACUUCGUGCCAGCAGCCGCGGUAAUACGAAGGGUGCAAGCGUUAAUCGGAAUUACUGGGCGUAAAGCGCGCGUAGGUGGUUCAGCAAGUUGAAGGUGAAAUCCCCGGGCUCAACCUGGGAACUGCCUCCAAAACUACUGAGCUAGAGUACGGUAGAGGGUAGUGGAAUUUCCUGUGUAGCGGUGAAAUGCGUAGAUAUAGGAAGGAACACCAGUGGCGAAGGCGACUACCUGGACUGAUACUGACACUGAGGUGCGAAAGCGUGGGGAGCAAACAGGAUUAGAAACCCCUGUAGUCC
rnacentral:rRNA from 1 species